rnacentral:lncRNA from 1 species
UUCAAUUUUUGAUGUGGAGAGGUGGAUGUACUCUUCAGAAGAAAUGAAUGACGAAGUGACCACAAUUACACCGAGCUGGAUGGGAAUGCGUUUUUGUGCACGAAGACAGUCACUUUCUUGUUAAAUUAAUAACCUGCACCAUUGUUCGUGUUAACUAAAGCUGUGAGCGGAGCGAGUGGCAAUCAGAUGUGGACUAAUGGCAAGAAAGACCUACAGACACAUCACUUGCUAUAUCUUGGUCGAGCAUCAUGGGCGUGUGCCCAUUUCUUGAAUAUAUACAUUUUUGAAACAUACGAUUGUCGAAUGACUGCUUGCAUGUGGCUACUCAUCUGAAGUCUCCCCUCGUCAAUCUUCUCAUGGAAAUAGCGCCAAACAGCAUUGGAUUUCAUGAAGAAUAGCUAUUGGGUACUUGUAUCGGUGGAUAGGAUGGACGCUGCCCUCGAGAUUCCAUGCAGGAUAAUAUAGUGAGUUUGCAACGGGACCAUAAUGAAGAGCAAGAAAGAACUCACCAACGGAAAGAGAGGCUGCAAUGGGUGGAACAGCGUGAGACGAUUUGUGCACAUUCGCUGGUUAUGCGCGGCGUCGUUAGUAUUUGCGUUGUUCCUCGUUGGCGUCCACCAU